rnacentral:rRNA from 1 species
UGGGGAAUUUUGGACAAUGGGGGCAACCCUGAUCCAGCCAUGCCGCGUGCGGGAAGAAGGCCUUCGGGUUGUAAACCGCUUUUGGUCGGGAAGAAAAGGUUCCUCUUAAUACGGGGGGCUGUUGACGGUACCGGCAGAAUAAGCACCGGCUAACUACGUGCCAGCAGCCGCGGUAAUACGUAGGGUGCGAGCGUUAAUCGGAAUUACUGGGCGUAAAGCGUGCGCAGGCGGUGAGUUAAGUCUGCUGUGAAAGCCCCGGGCUCAACCUGGGAAUGGCAGUGGAAACUGGCUCGCUGGAGUAUGGCAGAGGGGGGUGGAAUUCCGCGUGUAGCAGUGAAAUGCGUAGAGAUGCGGAGGAACACCGAUGGCGAAGGCAGCCCCCUGGGCCAAUACUGACGCUCAGGCACGAAAGCGUGGGGAGCAAACAGGAUUAGAUACCCUGGUAGUCCACGCCCUAAACGAUGUCAACUGGGUGUUGGGGAAGCGAUUCCUUGGUACCGUAGCUAACGCGUGAAGUUGACCGCCUGGGGAGUACGGCCGCAAGGUUA